UAUCUUCUUCGCCGGAAGCCGACGCCUCAAGUGAUGCUCUCUUCCCCCCUCGCUCUAUUUGUCUCUCACCUUCCAUUACCUCUCGUCUUCUGCACCCACACCCUUUCUCCCUCCUCCGUUUCGUUCUCUCUCUGCCAUCCUUCGCUGUCUUUCCUAAUCGAUGGCGGCGCCGUGUACCAUAAUGCUUGGUCGUCCUCCACCCACACAUCCUUCUCCUCUCUCCCC
rnacentral:lncRNA from 1 species